UGUAAAGAGAGAGUGAAAGGGAAAGAAAGAAGGAGAGAGAGAGAGAGAGGAGGAUGACAGCACUCUCUGGGUCAAAAACUUCUCACAACAGAUAUGGAAGGGAGGGCUCUCAUCCUGGUACUCUCAGUGCUCUGCACCCUCUCCUCCUGCCUCACUCACGAGUACCACUAUGUUAGCAACCCUAAGACUUGGACCGAAGCACAGAGAUUCUGCAGAGAGAAGUACACUGACCUGGCUACCAUAGAAAACAUGGAGGAUAUGAAGAGGCUGAUCAACACUGUAGACAGUGGUUAUAAUGGAUCAGUCUGGAUAGGGUUGGAGAAGGGAGAUAUCAUGGUGUGGCAGUGGUCUCUGGCAAACAGAGAUUACUAUGGGGAAGAAGGAACUGGGUUCAGGAAGUGGAGUGAAGGAGAGCCUGAUAAUGGUAUGGGGAGAGUUGAAGAAGAAUGCGCUGCAAUGAAUGAGAAUGGUCAAUGGCAGGACAUGCCAUUCACAUUUAAAUUGUCUGUCUACUGCUAUGAUGGUGAGAGUUACUGUUUUCAUGCUUUUCUUACUUCCAAGUUUCUUCAUAAUACUGAGUUUGUGUCUGUAUUUUAAAAAAAACUUUUUUUGAAACAUAUUUCAAGUAAAGAGGUUAAUUCCAAAACCCUAUAUAUUCAUUUUCAGAAAUGUUGUUAAAUUAGCUUUUAUAUUUUAAAGAACUUAUUAAAGAGAUUUGUGUGCUUUUUCACCACCAAAUCACAGUAUGGAUUUUGUAAUUGUAUUUGGUUUUAUUAAGGCAGCAGCUAUUCGGGUUCAGCAACAUUAAGGCAGUUAUAUACCUUUUACAGACAUGUAUUUGUUUGAAAUCUAUCACUUGAUGGUUUCUAAACACUAUAUAUCUGCCUCACUCUGAGAUAAAUAAGUAUUAGUGCUAAGUUUUACACAAAUUACUACAUUUUUUGUAAUCAAAUGUUACAUUAGUACAGGGCUAGGUUAAACUCACCCAAGGUUCUGUUCAAGUGGUCCCCAGCUGCUGACCGGGCGUUCCGGGACUUCAAGCACCGUUUCAACACAGCUCCCAUAUUGGUUCCUCCUGACCCGUCUCGUCAGUUUGUGGUGGAGGCCGAUGUCAGAGUGGGGGUUGUCCUGUCCCAGCGUUCUGCCCUGGACCUCAAGUUACAUCCCUGCACCUUCUUCUCCCAUCGCCGCAACGCCACGGAAAGGAAUUAAGAUGUGGAGAAUUGUGAGCUUCUCACGGUGAAGAUGGUGUUGGAGGAGGGGAGGCACUGAUUGGAGGGGGUGGAACAUCUGUUCAUUGUGUGGACGGACCACAAUAACCUGGAAUAUCUCUGCAUCCUUGGACUCCGAGACCAUCCUUCCCACCUCAUGCCUAGCGACGGCAUUCAGCUGGGGAAUAGAGAAGCAUGUCCGUGAGGCGCAGCGUUCCCAGCCGAACCCCGGAGGGGACCAGAUAACUGGAUGUGUGUUCCUGAUGCUGUCCGCCCCUUGGUUCUGGAGUGGGCCCACUCCUCCAGGCUUUCCUGCCACCCGGGCUCCCGUCUGACCCUGGCCUUUGUGCGACAGCACUUUUGGUGUCCUACCAUGGUCCCUGACAUCUCCGCCUUCGUCAAUCUGUGUGCACAACAAGACUCCUCGGCAAGCUCUGGCUGGUCUCCUUCAACCACUGCCUGUCCCUCACUGUCCCUGGUCACACAUAUCCCUGGACUUCAUCACGGGUCUCCCCCCGUCUGAUGGCAACUACAUCAUCCUGACAGUAGUGGACCGGUUUUCCAAAGCAGCCCAUUUCAUUCUUCUCCCCAAGCUAACCUCUGCAAAAGAGAUGGCCCAGCUCAUGGUGCAGCACGUCUUCUCGGAUCCAUGGACUUCCGGUGGACAUGGUCUCACACCGGUCCUCAGUUCUCUUCCCGGUUCUGUUAGGCGUUCUGCACACUUAUUGGAUCGUUGGCCAUCCUGUCCUCCAGUUUCCACCCUCAGUCCAACGGCCAGUCAGAGCAAGCCAAUUAAGACCUGGAGAUGACUCUUCACUGCCUUGUCUCCGCCAUCCCCACCUCCCGGAGCCAGCAACUCGUGUGGGUUGAAUAAGCCUGCAACACCCUCCCCUGCUCUGCCACUGGUCUCUCGCCCUUUGAGUGUUCCCUGGGUUAUCAGCCCGCACUCUUCUUGGAGCAAGAGGAAGAAGUCGGCAUACCUUCGGCCCAGAUGUUUGUCAGUCGCUGUCACCGUACCUGGAAGAGAGCCCGAUCGGCUCUUCUCAAGACCACCUCCAGGAAUCGAAUACAAGCGGUCUGCGACCGGACCUCUGCUCCCCGGUAUCAUCUUGGGCAGAGGGUAUGGCUGUCCACUCGAAAUCUUCCCCCCCGGGUGGAGUCCCGCAAACCUUCGCCCCGUUAUAUCGGCCCUUUCUCCAUCUCCAAAAUUAUUAGCCCCUCUGCUGUUCGUCUUCUGUUACCCUGUACCCUCCGUAUACAUCCCACUUUUCAUGUGUCUAGGAUUAAACCUGUCUCACAGUCCUUUGUCUCCCGUUUCCUGACCCUGAGCCUGCCUGCCGUUCUGUACCUUUUAUACUCUGUUCUGGAUUACUGACCUCUGCCUGCCCUUGACCUGUCGUUUCCCUGCCACCCUGAUUUUGUAAUAAACUUUUGUUACUUCGAAACUGUCUGCAACUGAGUCUUCUCCGGAGCAGUGAUAAACACAAAGAAACUGCCAGAGGCCUAUGAAUACAGCAAUAUGAGAUCUGUAUGUAAAAUAUUUACAUUUGACAUUAUGGUCCUUUAGCAGACGCACUUAUCAAGAGCGACUUACAAUUAGUCCAUUCAUCUUAAGGUCGCUUGGUGAGACAACUACAUAUCACAGUCAAAUGUACAGGAUACGAAUAUUCCAUUCCAGCUAAACAAUGGAUAUACAGAGUUUUGCAACAAAAUCCACUUUAAAAUCCAUUUUAACACACCAAAAAUCUAUGAAUAAAAAACAGUCAUAUUUUACACACAAAUGAAGGUCCCAUAAGCAAUAAUUU